CACCUCUGUCAAUUCCACACCACCACCAACUGUAUAAAUGAUAUGUGCGUGAGUCAUUGCAUGUUUGCGCGCCAUGUUGUCUUUUGUGCAAUUAUGUUUUCUUUUUUGCAGGCGCGCAUGUGGGCGGUGUCCAUUUGGCAAUGGAAGCAGUGGCGUCAGGGUGUCUCCUCUUAAAGAGCUCAACAUGAAUCAUUCGCACUAGUGAAGCUUCGUGGGCUGAGAAUUUGCAGAAUGCGUCCACCGGCGUCAAAGACGAGUAAAAAUAUUUACGAUG